CCAGUUUUAAGUCUUAACGGCUAUAAUUGUAAAUUAUAAUUGUAACAAUGUCGGUUAAUAAAGUGAAAACCACAUACGAAUUAUUUAUACAAUCCAACCUCGUUAAUGGACGGCUACUAUUCUUCCGAAAAUUCUCUACGCCGUGCCCUAUGUAGAAUUAUGCCGCCAAAUUCCGCCAACAAGAAAUUUGUCAUGACUACCAUGACGCAUAAUAAUAUUGUUGUGAAAACUAUACUAUAAUAGUCUAGUCAGACACUGCCUGAUUUUGAUUGUAGUCCGCAGAUAUUUAGGUGCUAUUUACUCCACCCUUAGUGUUGACAAGUACGUCACGCCGUCACGAGAAUCUAGGUCAAAAUAUCAAAUACCAAAAAAUAUCACAAAAAAUUAGGAACAUAAAGGUGUACGUAAGUACGUAAAUACGUUAACAAUAUACCUAUGUUAUAAACGUAGGUAUAAAGACGUUUGAUUGUUUGAACAAGUUAGAUUUUUUUUUCAUGUGUGUUGAGGUUAUUAAACACCGACUA